AGCCUACGGGACGCAGCAGUGGGGAAUAUUGCGCAAUGGGCGAAAGCCUGACGCAGCGACGCCGCGUGAGGGAUAAAGGUCUUCGGAUCGUAAACCUCUGUCAGCAGGGAAGAACGGUCACUGUGCUAAUCAGCAGUGAAUCGACGGUACCUGCAAAGGAAGCACCGGCUAACUCCGUGCCAGCAGCCGCGGUAAUACGGAGGGUGCGAGCGUUAAUCGGAUUUAUUGGGUUUAAAGGGUGCGUAGGCGGAAUGCCAAGUCAGCGGUAAAAUCGCGGGGCUCAACCUCGCUCCGCCGUUGAAACG
rnacentral:rRNA from 1 species